rnacentral:rRNA from 1 species
CCCGCUGAACUUAAGCAUAUCAAUAAGCGGAGGAAAAGAAACUAACAAGGAUUCCCCUAGUAACUGCGAGUGAAGCGGGAAAAGCUCAAAUUUAGAAUCUGGCAGUCACUUGGCUGUCCGAGUUGUAAUCUAGAGAAGUGUUGCCCGUGCUGGACCAUGUACAAGUCUCCUGGAAUGGAGCAUCACAGAGGGUGAGAAUCCUGUCUUUGACAUGGACUGCCAGUGCUUUUGUGGUAUGCUCUCAAAGAGUCGAGUUGUUUGGGAAUGCAGCUCAAAAUGGGUGGUAAAUGCCAUCUAAAGCUAAAUAUUGGCGAGAGACCGAUAGCGAACAAGUACCGUGAGGGAAAGAUGAAAAGAACUUUGGAAAGAGAGUUAAACAGUACGUGAAAUUGUUGAAAGGGAAACGCUUGAAGUCAAUCGCGUUGUCCAGAAAUCAACCUUGCUUCUGCCUGGUGUACUUUUUGGUCAACGGGUCAGCAUCAAUUUUGACCGGUGGAUAAAGGUCAGGGGAAUGUGGCAUUUUUAUUGAAUGUGUUAUAGCCCUUGGUUGCAUACAUCGGUUGGGAUUGAGGAACUCAGCAUGCCGCAAGGCCGGGUCUUUUGAUCACGUACAUGCUUAGGAUGCUGGCAUAAUGGUUUUAAUCGACCCGUCUUGAAACACGG